ensembl:lncRNA
CCUAAGGAUGCUUAGACGAGACAUCUCCAGAUAGCCUUGUGAUAUGGGGGCGUCGUGAUCUGUUCUCAGAGAUGAGAGAUGCGAAAUGGGGCAUGGCGGCCAGGAGGAGCAACCGAAGGAGCGGUGGCUGAGCAGGCACAGGAGGGCCUAGAGGAGCUAUCCCAUGCUGAAGGUCAGGAACGGUGGCGGUAAGGAGAUACCCCUCGUCCAAGGUAAGGAGCAGUGGCUGUGCUUUGCUGGAGCAGCCGUGAAGAGAUACCCCACGCCCAAGGUAAGAGAAACCCAAGUAAGAUGGUAGGUGUUGCAAGAGGGCAUCAGAGGGCAGACACACUGAAACCAUACUCACAGAAAACUAGUCAAUUUAAUCACACUGGGACCACAGCCUUGUCUAACUCAAUGAAUGAGUUAGAUUUUGUCAAAUGUUUUUUCUGCAAUUCUUGAUAUGAUCAUGUGUGUGUGUUCAAAGAAUACUUCGCUGAGAGAUUGAAAAGUCAAGCAAAACCUUUUCCCCUUGUUCUUGUAGAGGCAGUGAUGCCACAAGUAGGAAUUUUAGGUGGCUUUGGUCUUUUCCCCCUUUAGUAUCUUCCUACCAAGUUUCCCCAAAUAAAUGAAAUAUUUGUGCUCUUGUAAACUCAGCUUCGGAGAAGGCAAUGGCACCCCACUCCAGUACUCUUGCCUGGAAAGUCCCAUGGAUGGAGGACUCCUAAAUCACUAAUCAUUAUUCAUCGCUUUGCUAAAACCCCAUUACCAAGAAUUUUUGAAGCUAAUUGUGAUUAAUAUGAAUGAUAAAUUUUUCAUAAACAUUUCUAAAAUUUGGUUUUCCCCUAUAUUAUAGUUGUAAAUGUAAGGGUUUGUGAAAUUUAUGGGCGAUGGGGAUGUUUUCUUCCUAGAGAUAUUGGGAGAUUUCAUGGGAUUGGCAAACCUCUAGCUGAGUCUUCAGGAAUUGGUAUGAGUUUGGAGACUAGGGGAUUUGAUAAGGGAGAAUUGCAUAGAUAAAGCCAUGGAGAUAAGAAAUGCCAGCCAUAUUUGGGAGCAUCCAGUUAUUAAGAACUUGGAAUGUUACCAGGAAGACAGUAGAAAGAUGAACUGAACAACUGAGUUACGGCCAAGUUACGGUGAACACUAAAUGUCAAACCGAGAAAUCAAAUUUAGUCUGCAGGGCAUGUGGAUACGUUGAAAUAUUUUCCGUACAGUGAUGACAUGAUCAGGACUGUGCUUUUAGAAGAUUAAUUUUGCAGUACUUUGUAGCAUGAAAGAUAGAGACAAAAUACAGGCGGUAGAGACGUCUCUGUCACAUCUGGUAAUAUAUCUUUGAAAUUCCUUUUUCCUUUAAAUGUCACACAGCAACUCUGAGAACUACACUUGAGACUGUGAUUCCGCUGUCAGCAGUGACAUUCACUUCUCAUUUUCUCUUCUGAUGAAUGACGGGAGCCAGCGUCAGCCGACAAUGAGAAGAAUCACUAAAUACAGUCAACAUGGAAUUCAGUUAAUGAAGAGGGCAAUCGCUUCUGUUCUGUAUAUGAUCAUAAUAUCUUCUGGCUAUAGGUUACCUGUAAUAAGAAAUAGUAGAAAGAGAAGAAACGGAAGAAGGGUGGGAGAAAAGAAAGUGAGGAGAGGAGGAGAGAAAAGCAGAGAGGAUACGACAGGGGAAGAUAAGUUUCUGUCAGUCUCUGUGAAGAGUAGAGUACCUCUGCUGACCUGUGAUGGAAAAGUAGCAGGUAUACAGGAGGCGGUCCUAAGAUGGUGGAGGAAUAGGAUGGGAAGACCACUUUCUCCCUCACAAAUUCCUCAAAAGAACAUUUCAACGCUGAGCAAACUCCACAAAACAACUUCUGAAUGCUGGCAGAGGACAUCAGGCAACCAGAAAAGCAGACCAUUGUCUUCAAAAACAGCACGACUGAACUAGUGAGCCUAAAAAACCAGCAAACAGAAGAAGUUAAACAGAAGGAACUGCCUUGGAAGUGACCCCACACUGCCCACAACAUCAGAGAAGGGCCAGAUAUAUCUUUACUAUUUUU